ensembl:lncRNA
UAAUUAAACUGCACUGACUGCCUAGUUGCACUAUGUGUUAGCCUGUUGUUUUGGCAUUGUUUUGCAAUGAUGAAUGAGGCGUUUGGCAGUUUUAAUAGCUUGUUACAAUUUAGUCUAAUCUGCAGGCCUACUCCACAUACAGUCCAUUGUUAUCAUGUGUUAGUUUCUGUCAUGUUCUGCAUGGCCAAUAUGAAGUGAUUUUAUGGAUUUGGUUAGGCUCAUUGUAGGACAGAUGAUUAAAAAAGGCACUAGGGAUAUUUUCAUGAUCUCAAAAUAUUCUAACAAGUCUUCCUUUCUGGUCCAGAUUAUCAUUUCAGUGAAGUGGAAGAAUUUAAUAGAAAGAUUGACAAACAAUUGAGGAAAGAAGGGAGAUCAUUCAAUUGAGUUGAAGCCUACAGCCAUUCUAUCCAUGCAGCAACUAAUGGAAAAGGGGUUCGCUUUGGUGCUGUU